CAGUGAUGAUACGCCAAAAGAGGUCACAAGCUUGCCAAGAGCUAGGACCACUGCUGCUUCUGCCAUAUUGUCUUCACCUAGUGAUUGGCCUAACACUAGAUUAUAUAUUGUUUGGAAAAGGAAUUCCUUUUCAUGAGGGACAUCUUUCUCAGCUUCUUGCUAAUGAUGAGUAUGCUACUAAGUUAUGCUGCCGCCAGAACAUUCCCUGCCUGUUAUGUUGAUAAUGUGAAGUUGCUAAUGGUUUCCUGAUGAUGCGAUGUUGAAUCAACAUAUAUUUGCUUGCUUCAGAGGAACAACAUACUAGUAAUAUUUUGCCACAUCAUGGAAGAUCAAAGCUAAGUGGAUUCAUAUUAUAUGCUUACAAAGUGAGAUGAUAAUUCUCUGCGAUCUGAAUGAUCAGCCCUGUUCCACAUGAAAAAUGAGCUAUUCUAAUCAGGGGAAAAAACCAUGUUCACUGUUUAAAGCUUAGAAGCUAGCGGAUCACGCGUGCAGCAAUCCCCAUACAUUCACCAAAGGGACAAAAUUAUAUCCUUAGAAAGAGGUCUAAGGUAAUACCAACUGUUCAAAUAUUUAGAUCUCUGUGCAUAAUUUAUACUACUCACCUGAUGCGGUAGCAGAGCUGAUGCCAUAGGAGACCAAUUUAAGAACAGCACAGAACUAAAGAGAGAGUUUAAUGUGCUUCAUAUAUGCCCUAGUUGAACAUGGAGGCAUGAAGCGGCAGGUCAACGCAUCCUUCGAUCACUUGGUAUUUAAUGGACUUAUCUUUUUGAAGGAAAAAAAACAAACUACAAAGGUACCAAUCAUGUGCUUGGACUUUUAAGGUUUGGAUUUGCCACUCAUCUGAAUGAUAAAUGUUUAGUGCUCACAUUUCAUACUCAUACAGUGGGUGGGUAAAGCAAAUCGACAAUUGUGCAAAUAUCCAGUGGUGAAUUUCUCCUCUUAUAUAUGUGGUUGGGAUGAGUUAUAUUUGGUUUAUGUGAAUGCAGUGAUCUGGUUACCACGAAGAAACUAAAUUAUGGACAUGGACCAGAAAUGCUAAUGGCUUGUAAAUUUUCGGUCUACCACAUGCGAUUCAGCUCUAGCGAUAUACUUCUUCUGUCCCAUAAAAAACCAACCUAAUACUAAAUAUGACACAUGCAAGUAGUACAAAUCUGGAUAUACAUCUGUUCAGAUUCGUUUGUUGUAUUAAAAUGUGUCAUAUCUAUUGCUAGAUUUAUUUUUUGUGGGAUUAAGAGAGUACUUUUUGUGGGAUUAAGAGAGUACAUGUACACGGUAUAAUUUUUGUCAUAUACACACAGUGGAUUCAUCAUCAUGUAUAUCAUACCAGCUUUUUUUUUUUUGC